AACGCACGAGACCUGCGGACCUGCGGAAGGAUCAUUACCGAGUUUACAACUCCCAAACCCCUGUGAACAUACCACUCGUUGCCUCGGCGGAUCACCGCGCCCCGUGAAACGGGCCGGCCCGCCAGAGGACCUAAACUCAAAUGUUUUAUUGUAUCUUCUGAGUAAAAACACAAAUAAAUCAAAACUUUCAGCAACGGAUCUCU
rnacentral:misc_RNA from 1 species